rnacentral:sRNA from 2 species
CAUACAUAUACCAAAACCAUUGUCAGAGUUUUUAUUCUGAAGAGCUACACAAGAGUAACAGUACGAAGAAUUAAUAUCUAUAUGAUUCAAUACUAGGGGAACCUGAAAAUGACAAUAGCUUCAACGAAAAGGAUAAUCUAUCUGCUUGCCAAUGCAACAAAUCAACCGCUAUGCUCCAAUGCCAUGUCCGAUUUGCAACCGUGUCUAUCAAUAACUUUACAGUAAAUGGUCAUCAGUAAACAUGUAAGCAGUAAAAGUUAAACUGAAAAUAAAAGAAGAAGAAGAAGAAGAGAGAGAAAAACAAGUGAUAAAGCUCUACGAACAAAACCAAAGAGAAACCCUUUAUUUCAAAAACACCGGAACACCAUACACCACUGGCGCUGCUCCGUUAAGAUAUUGCAAAAUGCAAGCACUUCGGGAAUUAGCAACUGCGGUAUCAAGUCCUACCAGACCACCCAUUUGGGACGGCUUCAUUGGCCUGGGAAGAGGAGGUUUCAUAGUCUUUGACCCUUUAGACUUGCUUGCUUGAUUGGUCUCAACCGGCGCCUUGUCCAUGAGACCCCAUUGCUCGAAUGUGGAUUGCGCAAAACGGUCGAUGUCCUUAUCGGUAACAUCCCAAAGUGUGGCUACAAGAGCG